GCUAGUUCCCCGGCGGGUGCGGCGGGGCCGGAUCCCGGGUUUGAGUCUCCGUGUUGGUCCUUCUGAAGCGGAGUCACAAACCGGCUAGAAGGUGGUGACGAAGACGCGUGCAUGCAGUGGUCCUGCUCUUGCCGGAGCUCUUCUGCCAUGCGGGCAGCCUGUGGGAGACCAGGAGAAGAGCACGAGCUGGAGCUGGGUCUGCAUCUAGGCUCAUAGUGCCUUUGAGAGCACUUAAUACAGAGCCUGGACAGAGCAGGUCUCCAAUAAACACAUGUUGAAUGCAUGGAUCCAGCUAUACAUGCUUUAAAGACCAACCUGAUGAUGAAGAGUGAUAAAGGAGGACUUCACCUCUAUUUGUGUUUAUUUCUUAAGGUCACUACCUUGAGUUGCUGUUGUAGCCUUUUCAGUGUCUUCACAAGUUCGCUGUUGUUCUUGUUGGCAUGGUCCAGCUGGAUUUCCAUUUCAUUCAGGUCAGUCUCCAUCUUCUUCUUCAGGCGAAGUGCCUCUGCCCGGCCCUUGGCUUCUGCAUCCAGGCUGGUCUGCAAAGACUCAAUGGCCCGCUGGUGGUUCUUCCUACAAGUCCAAGCAGAGAAGGCCUGACAUACUGGACAAGCACAUUCAGUCUAUGCUAAACCUAGAUAAGAGACUUCUGAGCAUCAGCAUGAGUAUAGCAUGUUGGAAGGUGAAAGUUUAUCACAUAUCUUUUGUGAUAUCGAUUCAUUUAACGUAAAAACAGUCCUGCAAGAAAACUGAAGCUCCAGGAUGAUGGAAGACAUGCCAGAGGUCAUCCAUUUAGCCCACAGCAGGCAAGAUUGGAGUUCCCAGGUUCCCCGAGGAUGGUACCUGAGCAGAUGUGGCUCCCCCAGCCUCUUCCAGCCUGUCGCUGAGGUCUUCGAGGUCCCGGGACAGGUCACUGCGUUGUUUCUCCACCUGGGCUUGCAGAUCAUCGAGGGUUUUCUGGAAGGAAAGAUACACACGUGUUUCCCACAAUGUACGCAGGAGCAGCUGGUCAGACCAGGUUUUCUGCCAUCACUUCUGAGCUGAGUUGAGUUGACUGCAGUGAACAGCUACUGAGUGCCUGCGCCUGGGUGCUAGGUGAGGCUGGGGCAGACCUGAGCACCCGUCAGCAGCAGGACGAAGCCUCUCAAUUAGCCAGAUCCCAGAAGCCUGAAACACCCAGAAUGCAAACCCUUCCUGGAGGGAGAUCCCUCGCCCAUCGCCUUUGAUAGUUCAUCUGAAUGUCUCAAGAGGCUGCAGCUGCAGAGCCUGAAGAUCAGCCCUCAUUUUGCAAGAAAUAAUCAAUGGUACAAAUGCCUCAGAUCCAGACCCAUGUUCCAGGCCAUCCAGGAAGCCAGCACCAAGACAGCGAGGCGCUCUGAGACACCUGCUGGGCCUGUCCUACCUCACCAAUGGCUGCAACGAAGUCAGAAGCCAAGUGCUUGACAUGGGGAUCCUGCCCAGGCCAGUUGAGCACUUGGAAUGUGCCCCAGGUCCUGUCUGUCUCUGUAUGGGCCUUCAGUUUGUUCCCUAAGACUACUGCAGAUAUAGGUGAAAAAUCACCAGACAGAGGUCACCACUGAUGCAGGCAUGGUGUUCCAGCUCCUGAUAUACCCCAAGUCGUCCAUCCACAAGACAGCCUGGGCCCUGGCUUGUGCAAGCAGACCCAGGGAAAAUACCCCAAACUGAAAAUCUACCUCCCUAGACUGAAGAAAGAGGCUGGCCGCUGCAGGCUGUGUGUUUCCAUGGGUCCCACCAGAGAUCGAGCAGUUCUUCCCAUGCAGGAGCAUGAAGUACCUGACCCAUCCCAGUGGAAAGUCCCUUUACAGAUUGCAGUAAGUGUCUCCGUUCCAGGGACAAUAGGAUUUGGUGCCUUGAUAGCUUGUUGGCCCUGGCAAACAUUGGAUCUACUGCUAUGUCCUUUGUUUUCUACACCUUUUCCCUACUGGGUGACUCAGGCUGAGUUCCCAGCCUGACGUGUGGAGAAGUGUGCCCACAGGGUGGUUAUUAAAUGUAUUAGUGGUUGGGAAAGCACGUCUGUCCACCUGGCCCAAAUAGGUUUUUCAGUUCAUAACUUUGCUGUUUGAGGACACCAUUUUUCCGUCGGACCAACCCAGUUGCCUGUGGGUUAUACAGGAGAUGGAAUCUCCAUUCAGUAACUCUAUUGACCAGGUCACUAUAUUUUAAAGGCAGCCCUGCCUCUAUAGCUAUCCACCAUCCUAUUUGGGUACUAUGAUGUCCACUCUUCCGGUGUACCCAAUCUACAGGGUCAACUGACAGGUCAGUUGCUAAUGCAUGUAUUUUUGCCAAGUCAUCUGCCUCCUGGAGGUAGAGACACCUUCUGGACAAGGACAUGGAAAACAAGGUCUGCCUCAGACUCUUGCAAGUG